rnacentral:rRNA from 1 species
GACGAACGCUGGCGGCGUGCUUAACACAUGCAAGUCGAACGGAAAGGCCCUGCUUUUGUGGGGUGCUCGAGUGGCGAACGGGUGAGUAACACGUGAGUAACCUGCCCUUGACUUUGGGAUAACUUCAGGAAACUGGGGCUAAUACCGGAUAGGAGCUCCUGCUGCAUGGUGGGGGUUGGAAAGUUUCGGCGGUUGGGGAUGGACUCGCGGCUUAUCAGCUUGUUGGUGGGGUAGUGGCUUACCAAGGCUUUGACGGGUAGCCGGCCUGAGAGGGUGCCCGGCACAUUGGGACUGAGAUACGGCCCAGACUCCUACGGGAGGCAGCAGUGGGGAAUAUUGCACAAUGGGCGGAAGCCUGAUGCAGCAACGCCGCGUGCGGGAUGACGGCCUUCGGGUUGUAAACCGCUUUCGCCUGUGACGAAGCGUGAGUGACGGUAAUGGGUAAAGAAGCACCGGCUAACUACGUG